CCUACGGGUGGCUGCAGUGGGGAAUAUUGGACAAUGGGGGGAACCCUGAUCCAGCCAUGCCGCGUGUGUGAAGAAGGCCCUCGGGUUGUAAAGCACUUUCAGUGAGGAAGAACGCCUGGUGGUUAAUACACAUCAGGAAAGACAUCACUCACAGAAGAAGCACCGGCUAACUCCGUGCCAGCAGCCGCGGUAAUACGGAGGGUGCGAGCGUUAAUCGGAAUUACUGGGCGUAAAGCGCGCGUAGGUGGCUUGAUAAGCCGGUUGUGAAAGCCCCGGGCUCAACCUGGGAACGGCAUCCGGAACUGUCAAGCUAGAGUGCAGGAGAGGAAGGUAGAAUUCCCGGUGUAGCGGUGAAAUGCGUAGAGAUCGGGAGGAAUACCAGUGGCGAAGGCGGCCUUCUGGACUGACACUGACACUGAGGUGCGAAAGCGUGGGUAGCAAACAGGAUUAGAUACCCGUGUAGUC
rnacentral:rRNA from 1 species